GGGAGGCGGGGGGCUGUUCCUGACCUUCAGGUGGGAAUACAUCACUGAAGGUCAACAAGCUGUCCAGAAUUGAAGCCAUGGGAUGGAGGAAAGGGGCACAGCUAACUUCAGCAUACUGACUCAUUGGUCCUCACGGGUACUCUGCUACCUCAAGAGCAAUGGAAACUCCAACCUGAUGGCCAAGGCAAGGGCAGAAUUUGCAAGUUGUAUUACAGCCAUAUUGUCAGCCUCAUCAAUAAGACUCCAGGAAGAGAUGAUGGAGAAUCUGUCCAGUGCACCCCUCAGAACUGUGCCCUCCAGCAUGAGGACUGGAAGAAUCCUGAAGCUUGACCAAACUCUACAAAUGCAGCCACUCUAAUAGGCAUGCAGCACUCAUUUGCCCUCUUUGACAAUCUCAGACUACCCUGACAUAAAGCAUUGUGAUAUUUAAAAAUAUCUCCAUAUUCUUCAGUCCUUUCAGUUGACUAUUUCUUAAUGUAAGCUGCCUUAGUAAAAUGUUAACAACA
rnacentral:lncRNA from 1 species